CGCGAAUCCACGCCUCUGGCUCCCGAGGCUCCGCCCUGGCUCCGUCACACCCUACCACCACCUCCCUUGAGGACUGCCGACGUUCCAGCCCUCCCUGAACCGUCCAUUGUCACAUUCCUAGUGCAGAGUGGCCGCCCCUGGGCUGGGCCACACCCACGUAACCCCAAAGAGGGCCCGUGAUUGACCCCAUUUCGCAGAGAUGAAGUCCUGCUAUGUUGCCCAGGCUGGCCUCAAACUCCUGAGCUCAAGAGAUCCUCCCACCUCGGCCUCCCAAAGUGUUGGGAUUACAGGCUUAGGCCUCAAGAGAUCUUGAACAUUUUCACUUGCUCUCCUGGAACCCUGAUGCUGCCACGUGAACAAGCCCAGGCAACCUUACUGGAAGAAGAGAAGCAUCAACUCCAACACAUGAGUGAGGUUAUCCUAGACCAGCCAAACCCCAUCAACCACAAACAUGAGUAAGCCCUGCAGAGACCCACCGAGCCCAAUCCGGAUCAACCAAACCUCCCAGCCUGCUUUAAACUUGGAUGAAGAAACUGAGGCUCAAAGAGGCUUGGCCAAGACCACAGAGCCAGCACUCAAUGUCAUUCCCUCUACCAUGCAGCGGGCUCCCCUCUGCCAUCUCCAGCCGCCUGAAGCAGGGCCCAGCAUGAAUGAGACAGCUGGCAGAGUGAGAGCUGUGCUCACCACCUCAGCUCAGUGGCCCCCUGGGGGACCUGGGCCGUGACCUUGGCCUCAUUACUGCAUCGGACCUGUAAUCAGAUGCUUAGAAGGUCUGCAGAGAUCCACCCAGCCUGGAUCAUGGGGUAGAGACCCGCACGGCAAGCUGGAAGAUGUAGCCUCUUUGAAAUCACACCAUUCACUGGGGGACUCUCAAGGGUUCAUCACACUCCACUGGGUCCUGGCCAUCUGCUCUGUCCAUUUGAUGGACAAAUGGACAGCAAAGAGGGCUA
rnacentral:lncRNA from 1 species